rnacentral:rRNA from 1 species
GGAAGGGCGGCGGGUGGAUGCCUUGGGGCCAGGAGCCGAAGAAGGGCGCGGCGCACCGCGAAAGGCCACGGGGAGCGGCGAGCACGCUGGGAUCCGUGGGUGCCCGAAUGCGGCAACGCCCUCGCCAUCGUAGGCGAGGACCCGAACCGGAAGGUUCGGGAGGGAACCGGGGGAACUGAAACAUCUAAGUACCCCGAGGAAAAGAAAUCAAGCGAGAUUCCGCAAGUAGCGGCGAGCGAACGCGGAGGAGCCCAAACCGGUCCGGUGGUCAAGCCUGCCGGCGUUGCCGGACCGGGGUCGUGGGAGAGGCGAGCUGGGGCGGCAGACCCGGCACCGAGUGAGCAACCGGAGACUUACCCGAACACCGCUGGAAAGCGGGACCGGAGGUGGUGACAGUCCAGUAGGGGAAGGGUUUCCGGCUCGGCGUCUUGUCCCAAGUACCCCGGGACACGAGGAACCCUGGGGGAAUCCGGGGGGACCACCCUCCAAGGCUAAAUACUCCUGGCCACCGAUAGCGCACCAGUACCGUGAGGGAAAGGUGAAAAGCACCCCGGGAGGGGAGUGAAAGAGAACCUGAAACCCGUCGCCUACAAGCAGUCGGAGCACCAUGGCUCGCGAGGGCCGGUGUGACGGCGUGCCUUUUGCAGAAUGAACCGGCGAGUUGCUCUGUCAGGCCGAGGUUAAGUCCCGGGAGGGACGGAGCCGGAGGGAAACCGAGUCCGAAGAGGGCGAGAGGGGGGCGAAAGUCUCCCUGCGGUCUGACGGAGCAGACCCGAAACCAGGUGAUCUACCCAUGGCCAGGCUGAAGUUCGGAUAAUCUCCGGAUGGAAGGCCGGACCGGUGUCGGUUGAAGACGGCUCGGAGGAGCUGUGGGUAGGGGUGAAAUGCCAAUCGAACCUGGAGAUAGCUGGUUCUCCCCGAAAUGCAUUGAGGUGCAGCCUCAUCCGUUUCCUUUCGGAGGUAGAGCACUGGAUGGCCUAGGGGCCUGACCGGGUUACCGAAGUCAACCAAACUCCGAAUGCCGGAAGGUGAAGGAUGGGAGUGAGACCGUGGGGGAUAAGCUUCACGGUCGAGAGGGAAACAGCCCGGACCCUCCGCUAAGGUCCCCAAACCUAGCUAAGUGUGAAAGGAAGUGGGAGCACGUAGACAGCCAGGAUGUUGGCUUAGAAGCAGCCAUCAUUGAAAGAGUGCGUAACAGCUUACUGGCCGAAGGUGGUCCUGCGCCGACAAUCCAGGGGGGCUCAAGCUAGGUACCGAAGCGAGGGCAUGCGAGGGACGAAGGACGAAGCGCAGGAAGGACGAAGAGGCACCUGGGAGGCAGUGACCAGGUGAGGAGCCGCGAGAGACGCGAUGCUGCGCAGCUUCCGCGAUCUGGACUUCUAUGAGGACGCGUAUCAACUCGCGCUGGAAAUCCACCGGUUUCAGUCUGGGGAUGCCGGCGUGCGAGCAGAUGGGCGGCCUGGCGAGCCAGAUGCAGCGGGCCUCGAAGCGGAUCGCUUCUGUGAUCGCGGAAGGGUGGGGUCGGCGUGAGCACCCGAAGGAGUUCAAGCACUUUCUGGCUAUCGCCGCUUCGAGCGGCGAGGAGAUGCAGGUGCACUUGGACUUCUGUCGCGAUCUCGGCUAUCUGGAUCCGGAGCGCCACAAGGAGUGGCGGGAACGGUACCAGAGCGUGAUCCGAAGAGUGGUUGCAUUUAGCAAGCGGUGGGAGCGGUGAACGACGGCAGAGUGUUCGUCCUUCGUGUGUUCGUCCUUCAUACGUUUCGUCCUUCGUCCUUCGCAUGGGUAGGGGAGCGUUCCGUUUCGGGCGAAGCGGCACCGGAAGGAGCCGUGGACGGGACGGAAGAGCGAAUGCCGGUAUGAGUAGCGAGAAGACGGGUGAGAAUCCCGUCCGCCGAAAGCCUAAGGGUUCUUAAGGCAGGUUCGUCCUCUUGAGGUCAGUCGGAUCCUAAGCCGAACCCGAACGGGGUAGGCGAUGGGGGCACGGUGGACAUUCCGUGACCGCUGCGUUCCGUUCCGCAAGGAGGAGCGAAGGGGGGACGCGUUCUGAAGGUUACCGCCCGGGGCAGGUGGUCCGGGUCGGCUGGCAGAGCGGGGUGACAGGGAAAUCCGUCACCGGGGGAGACCCGCCGCUUGGUCAGCUGGGAAGCGGAGGGGUAGCACCCGACGCGAACGGGACUGGAAGGGCGCCGAGAAAAGCCUCUAGCCAGGGGCGCAGCGACCGUACCGCAGACCGACACAGGUAGGCGGGUAGAGGAUACCCAGGCGCGCGAGAGAACUCUCGUCAAGGAACUAGGCAAGUUGGCCCCGUAACUUCGGGAGAAGGGGUGCCCUGGGAGGGGGAGGCUGGGACGCCGAACUUUCCCGGGGUCGCAGCGACAGGGCUCGAGCGACUGUUUAACAAAAACACAGGUCUCUGCCAAGCCGAAAGGCGCGGUAUAGGGGCUGACGCCUGCCCAACGCCAGAAGGUUAAAGGGAGGGGUUAGGCCGGAAGGCCGAAGCUCUGAACUGAAGCCCUGGUGAGNNNNNNNNNNAAAUUCCUUGUCGGGUAAGUUCCGACCUGCACGAAUGGCGUAACGACUUGAGCGCUGUCUCGACGAGAGGCUCGGUGAAAUUGUAGCACCUGUGAGGAUGCAGGUUACCCACGAUAGGACGGAAAGACCCCGUGGAGCUUUACUACACCCUGCUAUUGUGUUCUCUGCGGGUCUGUAGAGCGUAGGUGGGAGGGAGCCUUCGGGCUUCCGGCAAUGGAACACCACCCUGACGCGUGGGGGGCACUCACCGGGGGCGGUGAGGAGCCGCACCGGGACCGUAGCAGGCGGGUAGUUUGACUGGGGCGGUCGCCUCCUAAAAGGUAACGGAGGCGUCCAAAGGUUCCCUCGGCCUGGUUGGAAAUCAGGCGAAGAGAGUAUAAGGGCAGAAGGGAGCUUGACGGUGAGACCGACGGGUCGAGCCGGGACGAAAGUCGGGCCUAGUGACCCUCUGGUGGGGAGUGGAACCGCCAGGGCUUAACGGAUAAAAGUUACCCCGGGGAUAACAGGCUUAUCUGGCCCAAGCGCUCACAGCGACGGCCAGGUUUGGCACCUCGAUGUCGGCUCGUCGCAUCCUGGGGCUGAAUUAGGUCCCAAGGGUUAGGCUGUUCGCCUAUUAAAGCGGUACGCGAGCUGGGUUCAGAACGUCGUGAGACAGUUCGGUCCCUAUCCAUCGUGGGCGUAAGAGGGUUGAGGGGAGCUGCUCCUAGUACGAGAGGACCGGAGUGGACCGACCGCUGGUGUACCAGUUGUCCCGCCCGGGGCAGCCGCUGGGUAGCUAUGUCGGGAAGGGAUAAGCGCUGAAAGCAUCUAAGCGCGAAGCUCGCCCCGAGAUGAGCCCUCUCACCGGGAAGCCGGGUAAGGCCCGUGGAAGAGAACCACGUCGAUAGGCCGGGACUGGAAGCGCCGCAAGGCGUUGAGGGCACCGGUACUAAUCGGCCGAGGGCUUGAUCU